rnacentral:sRNA from 1 species
GCUGGGCAUGGUGGUGCAUGCCUGUAAUCCCAGCUACUCGGGAGGCUGAGGCAGGAGAAUCACUUGAACCCAGGAGGCGGAGGUUGCAGUGAGCCGACAUUGUGCCACUGCACUUUAGCCUGGGCAACAAAGUGAGACUCCGUCUCAA